UAAUUGGAAUGAGCUCAGGAACCUCGUUUGCUUUUGAUCCGCUGCCAGCCACUCAGAGUGCUACUGGGCCACAGCUCUCACCUCAACACUCCCAGUGGAUUAUGGGAAACUGCAACGCUUAUGUUCUAAAAAGCGCCUGACAGCAUCUCACUCAAGGUCGAACAAUACAAUGAAAUUUGAAUCCAGUGCGGGAAUGGUGGACUCUGCCACUAACAAUGAAAACUACUAUGAGAGUUUGAUCUGCUGGCUCAGCACUUUUCCAGAGUGGACUAACUCCAGGGACUUAUGGGAGUUUGAUGCUCCCUGGCUGCCAAAUGCCAGCAGGCCAAUGAAAAAAGAUAUCUGAAACUUCUAAGCUCAAUAUUUAAUCAAGCGCUGGGUUACAUUUGCUGUUUGAUUAGUGUGCACACAUUUGUGCCCCCAAGUCAAAACCAGCUAAAUAAACAGUGUGUUUCCUGAUGCCUAACGGUGUGCACUGCCCAUGCACCGCUGAUGUCAAUCCACCCAGGACUACCAGUGGCCCCACUUCGCUCACUUACUUACUCUUUGGCUCACUCCAUCCUUCCUUCAUGCUCAAAUUGACACUUGGUGCAGAGGCAGGCAGACAGGGGGCCUCUCCACCCUGCGCCUCCAGAGAUGUGGCCCAGCUGUCAGCCGUCUAAUCCAGUCCAACCUCCCCCUGAGCCAGGCAGGAACUCCAGGCUGCUCCCCCUCAUCCUCACGCCUAGAGGCACAGCAAACAACUCAGCCCUCGUCAACACUACAAACAGCACGCCGGGAGGGGAGCACUUUGCUAGUCAAAUCAGUUUUGACCGUUCUUCAUAAAUCAAGUACAACUGUGUGAUGGCACACCCCAAAAGCCUUUGUGUAUGAAAGACAACAGGUUAUUGACAUCAUGUUGACAUUGUGCUGGAAUGUAUUGCAUCAUAUAUCACAUAUCAGUUUGAUACUCUGUGGUUUGUAGCACCACUACUAAAGCCCAGCAGAUGAUUUAAUAAUUUUUGUUUCCAAUCAGCUCUCACAAUCUGAGCAAAGAAUCCCCUGGCCAUAGCGUCUCCUUUUACAUCAUAGGUGUUAGAGUUGGCAUUGUUACUAUGGAAACCACUGUACAGAGAAAAUGGCAUAUUGGUAAAUUUAGAUACAGUAGUGCAGGCAUGAAUGAGACACUAUCCAAUACAUUGCUGUCUUUCAGAGAUAUAGUAAUUUGACCUGACUUUGCAACCAUGUAUCUAUGUAAAAAUAUGUAUUAUAAUGAUAGACAACUUGAUAAUAUGUUAAAAAAACAACAACAACAAAAAAACAACAACAACAGCCUUUUAACAAUAUGGAUUUAUUUUUGUGUGGUUUGUGAGCACUCCUGGCACAGUCGUGGGCAUGUGUGUUUUCAGGAGUAUGUCUGUACCUUUCGUAUGGCUCCCCAUGGCAUUCCCAAUAUCAGUAUUCCUGUAGAUGUGUUUGAUGUGUUUGAAGCCACGUAGCAUACCUUGGAACAUGACAGUAAACAUGGCAGAGGCUCUCCCUCAGUGGAGCAGUGAUGCACAUCACCCCUCAGAAGUGUGUGACGGGUGUACAAACCAAACCCACCGGGCCACAUUGUCUCCUGGGAUUCUCCCUUACUAUGCUGCACUGACUGGCUGCAUGUUACUCAGUGCGACGCUGUUCAGAAUAAUUCCAUCCUCAGCCUGGAAAACAAAAGAGCAAACUGACAUGGGAGACAAACAAAGAGGAGAAAUGCAAAACAUGGACUUGUGACAAGUUAUGGAACCCACUUAACUGGUUAUCUGACCCAGCAGCAGUAGAUGUCAUGAUAUAUCCUGUUCUAAUGUUUUGCCUGUGUUUCAUCCCUGGAAAAUCACUAGUGUAUGUUUCCUGCAUGCAUCCCUGGGGAAAUUAAGAGGCACACUAUGUAUCUCGUGAGGAUUCUCCCAAGAAUGAGAAUAAAGCAGGCAGCAUGAAAGAGUA